rnacentral:rRNA from 1 species
UACGGGGGGAGCAAGCGUUGCUCGGAUUUACUGGGCGUAAAGGGCGCGUAGGCGGCGUGACAAGUCACUUGUGAAAUCUCCGGGCUUAACUCGGAGCGGCCAAGUGAUACUGUCGUGCUAGAGUGCGGAAGAGGCUACUGGAAUUCUCGGUGUAGCGGUGAAAUGCGUAGAUAUCCGGAGGAACACCAGUGGCGAAGGCGGCCGCCUGGACCUGACCUGACGCUGAGGCGCGAAGGCGUGGGGAGCGAACGGG